rnacentral:tRNA from 1 species
UGGCUCAGUCGGUGGAGCGUCUGACUGCGGCUCAGGUCAUGAUCUUGCGGUCAUGGGUUCGAGCCCCAU